GACGAACGCUGGCGGCGUGCUUAACACAUGCAAGUCGAACGGAAAGGCCCUGCUUUUGUGGGGUGCUCGAGUGGCGAACGGGUGAGUAACACGUGAGUAACCUGCCCUUGACUUUGGGAUAACUUCAGGAAACUGGGGCUAAUACCGGAUAGGAGCUCCUGCUGCAUGGUGGGGGUUGGAAAGUUUCGGCGGUUGGGGAUGGACUCGCGGCUUAUCAGCUUGUUGGUGGGGUAGUGGCUUACCAAGGCUUUGACGGGUAGCCGGCCUGAGAGGGUGACCGGGCACAAUGGGACUGGGGUUCGGGCCCGGCUCCGUAGGGGGGGAAGAGGGGGGGAUUAUUGCCCAUGGGGGGGAGGCUGAAGGAGGAACGGCGGGUUGGGGAUGGCGGCCCUCGGGGUGGUAAACGGCUUCCCCCGGUGCCGAGCGGUGGGUACCGUUAUUGGGUAAGGAGGACCCGGUUACUACGUG
rnacentral:rRNA from 1 species